rnacentral:rRNA from 1 species
AUUGAACGCUGGCGGCAGGCCUAACACAUGCAAGUCGAACGAGUGGCGGACGGGUGAGUAAUGUCUGGGAAACUGCCCGAUGGAGGGGGAUAACUACUGGAAACGGUAGCUAAUACCGCAUACCAUCGGAUGUGCCCAGAUGGGAUUAGCUAGUAGGUGGGGUAACGGCUCACCUCGGCGACGAUCCCUAGCUGGUCUGAGAGGAUGACCAGCACCACUGGAACGGAGACACGGUCCAGAUUACUACGUGAGUCAGCAGGGGGGAAUAGUGCACAAGGGGCGCAAGCCUGAUGCAGCCAGGCCGCGUGUAUGAAGAAGGCCUUCGGGUUGGAAAGUACUUUCAGCGGGGAGGCGUUACUCGCAGAAGAAGCACCGGCUAACUCCGUGCCAGCAGCCGCGGUAAUAC